GAUGAACGCUGGCGGCGUGCCUAAUACAUGCAAGUCGAACGGGAAAUGUAGCAAUACAUUUUUAGUGGCGAACGGGUGAGUAACGCGUUGGUGACCUGCCCCGAAGCGUGGGAUAACAGUUCGAAAGGAUUGCUAAUACCACAUGUGGUUAUGUGAGUUAGAGAAAGAUAACUAAAGGAGAAAUUCACUUCGGGAGGGGCCUGCGUCCCAUCAGCUAGUUGGUGAGGUAAAAGCCCACCAAGGCGAUGACGGGUAGGGGACCUGAGAGGGUGACCCCCCACAAUGGAACUGAAACACGGUCCAUACACCUACGGGAGGCAG
rnacentral:rRNA from 1 species